rnacentral:misc_RNA from 1 species
GAUGAAGAACGUAGCGAAAUGCGAUAAGUAAUGUGAAUUGCAGAAUUCCGUGAAUCAUCGAAUCUUUGAACGCACAUUGCGCCCCCUGGCAUUCCGGGGGGCAUGCCUGUCCGAGCGUCAUUUCUGCCCUCCAGCCCGGCUGGGUGUUGGGCGCUGUCCCCCCGGGGACACGCCCCAAAGGCAGUGGCGGCGCCGCGUCGGGUCCUCGAGCGUAUGGGGCUUUGUCACCCGCUCGGGACGGACUCGUCGGCGCUGGUCUUCCUCCAGGCGACCCUUCGGGGCUCGUCUUCCUUCGGUUGACCUCGGAUCAGGUAGGGUUACCCGCUGAACUUAAGCAUAUCAAAAGCGGAGGA